GUAGCUAACGCAAUAAGCGCCCCGCCUGGGGAGUACGGCCGCAAGGCUAAAACUCAAAGAAAUUGACGGGGGCCCGCACAAGCGGCGGAGCAUGUGGAUUAAUUCGAUGCAACGCGAAGAACCUUACCUGGGCUUGACAUAUAGAGGAUCGCUACAGAGAUGUGGUUUCCCUUGUGGCUUCUAUACAGGUGGUGCAUGGUUGUCGUCAGCUCGUGUCGUGAGAUGUUGGGUUAAGUCCCGCAACGAGCGCAACCCUUGUCUUAUGUUGCCAGCACGUUAUGGUGGGGACUCGUGAGAGACUGCCGGGGUCAACUCGGAGGAAGGUGGGGAUGACGUCAAAUCAUUAUGCCCCUUAUGUCCAGGGCUUCACACAUGCUACAAUGGCCGGUACAGAGGGCUGCGAUGCCGUGAGGCGGAGCGAAUCUCUUAAAGCCGGUCUCAGUUCGGAUUGGGGUCUGCAACUCGACCCCAUGAAGUCGGAGUCGCUAGUAAUCGCAGAUCAGCAACGCUGCGGUGAAUACGUUCCCGGGCCUUGUACACACCGCCCG
rnacentral:rRNA from 1 species